rnacentral:lncRNA from 1 species
CCUGAUGAUGAACGAAUUCAAUUGAAGGUCUGUAUAGAAGGAUUGGGCAGUGAAAGUGUUUGUUAUUCUGUUGUAUUGUGUAAUCUGGAUAUUGUUGGAAGCGAAUAAUAGGAGUGAAAGGCGUUGUGUGAGUGAUGGAAAUUUGGUGAGGAUGAUGGUGGUGUCAAGGUGCUAGCAGUUUCUAGGAGUGGCCUAAUGGUUGACGUGAGGAUAGUGUGAAAGCUGAUGGAUUGGAAGCAUAAGGCGUGGGGUGUGUGUGAUGGAUUAUGGUCGAGAUCUUGGUAAUCAGAGGGGAAUUUCUGUUAUGCCUCUUCCAUCCAUCAACAUUCUGUUUUUCCUCUCACGAAUAGAUCACGUUGCUCCUUUCUUUUUUCAUUUUUAUUUUUUCUUUCGUUUUUUCUUUUUCCUUUUUCAUUCAUUUUUUUCUUUUCUUUUUCAUCAUUUUUCGUUUUUCUUUUUUUCUUUUCUUUCUUUUUUUUUUCAAAACAAUAAAAUCAAACGAAAAUUAAAAAUAAAUCCAAAUAAUAAAAUAAAAACUAAAUCAAAUAGUAAAAUAAAAAUAAAAUGAAAAUGAAAAUAAAAUAAAACAAAAGUAAAAACGAGUCCUAUUAUUUAGUCACCCGGACGAAAUUGGGUGUUGACA